UGGAGGGGAGCGAAGGGUUUUUUUUUAGGGCGUUCUUUCGUCUGGUUGGAAUGGCUAAAGCGAUUUUUUUGGCGAUCUCUUGCCGCCUUCUUUCUUGCGUUCUCCUUGCCGCCCUCUUUCUUCCGUUCCCUUCUCGGCAUGGCCGCUCAGCAACAGAAGCGCAAUAAGUUGGCCGAGGAGCAGGAGGAAAUUGAAGAAAUGCAGGAUGGACCUUUCACGAUCGAGCAGCGCCAGAAGGCUGAAACCAUUCACAAGCUUCACAUGGUGUCGUGGGAAACUGUUUGUAAGCCGAAACUGGAAGAAGGUUUGGGAAUUCCGUUGUGAUUUACAGAAUGUACAACUGUCCUUCUCCUUUAUCUUCUUGGUUAUCUGCUCAUUAUAUUUCACCUUGGAAACCUACUAAUCCCAAAGCUAUCAAAUUUUGGCUCUCUGUUUGUAGUACAGCAGCAAUUGUGAAAUCCAAUUUUAAGUUUUUUAUUCUCCUAAUGCUCCUAUCUCCUUGCUUUGGGACCAUUGGUGUAAUAAUACUACUCUAUCUGAGCAUGUGGCAGGUGUUUCCCUGGAUAGUCUCUCUCUCCCUCUGCUUAAAAAUUAUAUUUCUUCUGGAAAUUGGGUUUUUUCUGAUGAUAUCCCUCUUGUUUUGAGGGCUGCUGUUAGCAGUUCUCCGAUUUUGGACACUACUGGUCCUUGUCUUUUUUGGAAUGAUUGUGACAAGGUUAAAUUUAGAGACUUUAUUGAGGAAUUUUAUAACAUUUUGCCGGCUUGUCCUUGGUACAACCUUGUUUGGCACAAAAAGCAUAUUUUGAAGCAUUCUGUUUAUGUUUGGCUUGCUCUAGUUGGUGGGUUAAAAACUCAAGAUGCCUUGAGAUCAAGAAAUAUUUAUGUGCCGAUGGUUUGCUCUUUAUGUCAUUCAGCAACUGAAACUGUUAAUCACCUUUUCUUUGAGUGCUCUUACUCAUUCUUUGUGAUUAACUCUCUUAUCCCUGGCACUAGAAAUUUUCUCUUAAGGCCUAUUGUUAUCCAACUUCUACAAUGGCUGGAGACCGAAUUUUCUGAUUCUCAAAUGAUUAUGAAUUUCUAUAUGUUGAUGGUUUGUUGUAUUAUUUACCAAUUGUGAAGGGAAAGGACUUGUAGAAGAUUUGGGAAUGAAAUUCAUAGCUCUUCUUCUUUGUUGUUUACCGUCAAAAGUAUUAUCACUGGGAAGAUAGCUAAGUGGAGAAAGUCUGAGGUACUUCUGAAUAAAAUCUGAUGGAGGGAUGGAGGAUUGAUGUUGAGAUAUUGAUGUUUGGAUGGAUGCUUUUCUCAGAUACUGUUGUUUACUGGCGGGAUUGGUUUAUUUAACCAGGACAAUGAUGAAGCUCCUUACUGACGUUCUACAACUGUAUUCCCCUUGGAUGGCCUUCGGGCAACCAGGGGUUUUUGCCUAUUUCCUUAUAUCUGAGUCCUGGUUAACCUUAAUGGAGCUCAUUUUGAGAACUUUGGUUCUGUUGUUCUGUAGUCUUUUGGUUUUGCUUUCUCUGUUACCAGGUUUCCUGCUACCAUUUUACUCUUCGCGCGGCUGGGAGGUUCUUGAUCCAGUUCUUCAGCUGAGAAGGGGAUGCGCUAUCAACGUCUGGGAGCUCUUGGCAUAUUUUGGGAUCUUGCUCAUUUCUGAAUUGCUGCAGGGUUUGCUGGCUGCAGUUUCUUCAAGUCUCAUUUGUGUGUAAUUUUUUGAUUGUAUGGGUGGUAUAGUUGGGUUUUUUUACAUAGAAUCUUCAUAAGUUUUUGUUUUUGCUUAUGAUGGGUUAUUUUACUUGUAUUCACCUUUACUUGUAACCUCUUUUUCAUAGUAAUAUAUGGACCACGGCCCCAAAAUUUCCCAAAAAAUAAACAGAAGGCUGAAACUUUGGAUUC